UCCCUGAUAGCUCAGUUGGUAAGAAUCCGCCUGCAAUGCAGGAGGCCUGGGUUCGAUUCCUGGUUUGGGAA
rnacentral:tRNA from 1 species